CUUGAGACUUCUAGUCUGACCAGCUGGAGCUGGUAUAAAGUAGCGGAAACACAGAGCAGCAGACAUUGUAGUCUCCACAGAGCCAGAGCCCUUUUCUGCUGGGAUAAUCACACAGUGUGUGCGAGGGUGUGAAGGUUCCAGGGUAAGCAGGAUAGUGGGACAUGGCUCUGGUAGGGGUUCACAGAGAGUGGAAGGAUGAGUGAGAGAUCUCAAGGUCUCUAACUUGUCUGGGAGGGGUGAGUGCAGGACAGCAGGAAUACAGGAAAGGGAGAGGAGUCCCCAAGAUCUGCAUGGCUGGAUGGGGUGCAAGGAAGGCUGAAGGAACGUAUUUAUUCUAGGUCUUGAGGAUGCAUUGUAGUUAGGAGUACAAGGGACUUGAAAAUGAAUGUCCCAUGAUAAUUUUAAGGAAAGAGACAAGACGUGGAAUAAGGGAGGCGUCCCAGUCCCCAAGUCAGAGAGCACUUCAGAUAUUAUGAUGGCUUAGGGGCGUUCUUCUUGUCUUCCACCAUGCUACAAGGAGUUGGUUAGCAAUUCAGAGUGGAGCCCACAGGAGAAUUCAAAACAUAAGUUUUAAGCCCCAACUCUGCUGGGCUGAGUCCUUCCUCAGCUGGGCUUUGAGCCUAUCACCCCUUGUUUCUUUCCGGAGACUAAGUUCUGCAACACUGGGAUACUGCAAUACUGCUAGUCCCUGCUAGGGCAUCUCCGAGGUUAUCUCCUUGCCCUGGGUAAAGUAAAGGUCUCUCCCAAAAAACUCUAAAGAAAACAAAAAUAGGUCACUUGGUUCAGAAAAGUCUUGCCUGUAUGAAGGUUCUUGGAGGUUUUGUUGCUAUUAUUCUUCCCCUGCAACCCCCCCUCCCCCAUGCCAUUCAGGUUAAAAGUGUCAACGGACAAGUUUAUUCUAUGUUGUUUAUUUACAUACAUAUUUAUUACCAUUUUUAUGGAUCUUAUAGGAAUUUCCUACCACCUGGAAGACUAGAUCCAGGAUCAAAUCCUCAGGGAUGGCUCUGCUUACAGUGCGUAGACGGAGGAUCUGAGAACAGUUGAUGAUUAGGAAGCGGAAGUACACGAAGCACAGAGACACAGCACGGUGGCACAGAGAAGAGGAGGAGAGCUACGGAAGCUCUGAGAAGGGCAAGAACCAGCUGCCAGGCCUCACCUGCAUCCUCUUUUUCCAGCACUGGCCCAUCCAGGCUCCCAGACAGAGCUCAGCCUGGCUUCUCACAAUGUGUGUCUCACUCCUGGGCCACUGCCAAGGCUUAGGCAUGAAAACUUGACAUGCGGGACUGGAGAGAUGGCUUAGUGGUUAAGAGCACUGACUACUCUGCCAGAGGUCCUGAGUUCAAUUCCCAGCAAUCAUAUGGUGGCUCACAACCAUCUGUAAAGGAAUCUGAUUCCCUCUUCUUGUGCAUCUGAAGGCAGCUACAGUGUACUCAGACAUAAAAUAAAUACUUAAAUCUUUUUUUUUUUUCUCUGAGACAGGGUUUUUCUGUGUAACUCUGGCUGUCCUGGAACUCACUCUGUAGACCAGGCUGACCUCGAACUCAUAAAUCCACCUGCCUCUGCCUCCUAAGUGCUGGGAUUAAAGGCAUGAGCCACCACGCCCGGCUUACUUAAAUCUUAAAACAACAAAAAGAAAGAAAGAAAGAAAGAAAGAAAGAAAGAAAAAGAAAAAGAAAAAAGGAAAAUUGACCUGAGCCUUGUGGCCCUGGCAGGAUUGAUACAGAAACUAUCAGUUUCAGAGUGUCUUAGUUACUGUCAUAUUGCCUCGAAGAGAUUCCACGACCAAGGCAGCUUAUAAAGGAAAGCAUUUAAAAGGGGGCUUGCUCAUAAUUUCAGAGUCUGUGGCCAUUAUGUGGGGAGCACUAGGGCUCCUGCGAGAAAGAGGAAGAGGC
rnacentral:lncRNA from 1 species